rnacentral:rRNA from 1 species
UACAGAGGUCCCAAGCGUUGUUCGGAUUCACUGGGCGUAAAGGGUGCGUAGGUGGUCGGGUAAGUUUGAUGUGAAAGCCCACGGCUCAACCGUGGAGGGUCAUUGGAAACUGGGGGACUUGAGUGCAGGAGAGAAGAGUGGAAUUCCACGUGUAGCGGUGAAAUGCGUAGAGAUGUGGAGGAACACCAGUGGCGAAGGCGACUCUUUGGCCUGUAACUGACGCUGAGGCGCGAAAGCGUGGGGAGCAAACAGG